rnacentral:rRNA from 1 species
AUUGAACGCUGGCGGCAGGCCUAACACAUGCAAGUAGGGCGAGCGACGGACGGGUGAGUAAUGUAUGGGAAACUGCCUGAUGGCGGGGGAUAACUACUGGAAACGGUAGCUAAUACAGCAUACCAUCAGAUGAACCCAUAUGGGAUUAGCUAGUAGGUAAGGUAACGGCUGCCAUAGGCGACGAUCCCUAGCUGGUCUGAGAGGAUGAUACGCCACGCUGUGACUGAGACACGGCCCAGACUCCUACGGGAGGCAGCAGUGGGGAAUUUUGCACAAUGGGCGCAAGCCUGAUGCAGCCAUGCCGCGUGUAUGAAGAAGGCCUUCGGGUUGUAAAGUACUUUCAGUCGGGAGUCGUUACCGACAGAAGAAGCACCGGCUAACUCCGUGCCAGCAGCCGCGGUAAUAC